GGACACACUGAGGAUUGACAGACAUACCUUUGCCACUACAAUAAAAAGCAACCUCUAAGCCAUAUGCGCAAGCGGUCACUUCAAAAAGCAGCAGCACUUAAGGAAAGACGCUAGAUCUUUCAUGAUUAUGUGAUAAGUGGUGCAUGGCCGUUCUUAGUUCGUGGAGUGAUCUGUCUGCUUAAUUGCGUUUCGCAAUAUAUAAAUCUGCGCAGUGCCCUUUUUCGCUGGGUGCGGNGUAAGAUCUNGAAAGCAACGAANGAGAUCGCAACCUUUAGUUGACCUAUGUAGCGGGUCAUAAGAAANUAAACUAAAGGGANUGCUGCCAUAUGUGCUUAAACCAGAGGAAGGUUGCGGCAAUAACAGGUCUGUGAUGCCNUUAGAUGUUCCGGGCUGCACACGUGCUACAAUGAUCAUUUCAUUAAGCAUAAAGCGCAACGGUAACUUCUAUUACCCCAGCUAUACACAAAGCGCAUUGAGAUGUGCGCGNGUGUANGUAUCACAGCCUGCCCCGAAAGGGAGCAAGUGGGUAAUCAAUUAGAAGUAAUGAUAUUCCUUGCAUGCAUUGCACUACACCCAAUAUGAGUGAUGGAACCCUUNGUAUGNGAAUGCGUCGUGCGUAACAUUCANUUCAUAUGUGCAAUUGUCAAUUNUUCGUGGGGACAGACCAUUGNUAAUUGUUGGUNUCGGUCUCAACUUGGAAUGCCUCGUACAGGGGGAUCAUCAUCCUCUCUGGGAUACGUCCCUGCCCUUUGUACACACCGCCCGUCGCUCUUAC
rnacentral:rRNA from 1 species